rnacentral:rRNA from 1 species
GAUGAACGCUGGCGGCGUGCCUAACACAUGCAGGUCGAGCGAGAUGUAUAUGGACGAAACUUCGGUCUAGGAAAUAUAUUGACAGCGGCGGACGGGUGAGUAACGCGUAGGCAACCUGCCCUUAACACAGGGAUAGCCUCGGGAAACCGGGAUUAAAACCUGAUAAUGCCAAAUAGUCACAUGGCUGUUUGGCCAAAGAUUUAUCGGUUAAGGAUGGGCCUGCGUCUGAUUAGUUUGUUGGUGGGGUAACGGCCUACCAAGACUACGAUCAGUAGCCGACCUGAGAGGGUGAUCGGCCACAUUGGAACUGAGACACGGUCCAAACUCCUACGGGUGGCAGCAGUGGGGAAUAUUGCACAAUGGGCGAAAGCCUGAUGCAGCAACGCCGCGUGAGCGAUGAAGGCCUUUGGGUCGUAAAGCUCUGUCCUUGGGGAAGAAAAAAAUGACGGUACCCAAGGAGGAAGCCCCGGCUAACUACGUGCCAGCAGCCGCAGUAACAC